rnacentral:misc_RNA from 1 species
UUAUUUCUUUUAUUUGAUUCAGACACAUAAGACUUAUUGCAGCAUAAAAGCGACGCCGAAGCGCCGAAGCACAUGUUGCUUCCACAGGUUUGCAAGGUUGAAGGCCCAGAGGCCAUUCAGUAAUGAUCCCUCCGCAGGUUCACCUACGGAGA